rnacentral:rRNA from 1 species
GUGGGGAAUAUUGGACAAUGGGGGAAACCCUGAUCCAGCAAUGCCGCGUGAGUGAAGAAGGCCUUCGGGUUGUAAAGCUCUUUUGUCAGGGAAGAAACGGGAGUGGCUAAUAUCUGCUUCUAAUGACGGUACCUGAAGAAUAAGCACCGGCUAACUACGUGCCAGCAGCCGCGGUAAUACGUAGGGCGCAAGCGUUGUCCGGAAUCAUUGG